rnacentral:lncRNA from 1 species
UUUGAUGCUGUCUUUCAGAAUCACUAUCGGUGUUCCCUGAGGAGCGUCAGCCUUGGGGUCUCCUGUGCUAUUCAGCCAAGGAGACCACAGUGCCUGCUGGCCCAGCCAAAUCCUGCCUAGCGAGCCCACCUGCCUGUCCUGCCACGGACUCUCCCUCUUCUGCUUUUCCCAUCAUAAAGGGCCCAGCCUCACCUAUGCAACCUGCAGCCCCCUGCCUACCAGUUGAGGCUCCCCUGUUAGACUUAUAAGUCUAUGUCCGUGGCAUCGGGCUACCUGUCCUCCUUGCCUUCCCCAGGGUCCCUCA